rnacentral:lncRNA from 1 species
AGUACUAGAAAUGGUAAGAGUGAGCACCUUGUCUUAUUCCUGAUCACAGAGGAAAAGCUUUCAACUUUUCAUCAUUGAGUGUGAUGCUAGCUGUGGACUUAUCAUGUAUGGCUUUUAUUAUGUUGAGGAAUCCACAUGGUGCAGAAAGGCCGUGGACUUUAGAGACCAUUCAGCUGGAGUGUGUAAUGCCAGCUCUUCCUUUCUGAACGACCCAAACCCUUCUUUUCCUAAGGAAACCAGAAAAAGAGAUUGAGAUAGUAAUUCUGAGAUGCCUGAUCAUCUACCACGUACCUGCAAUCACUAAUGUGUUUGGCCCAUGUCUUGCCCCUUGGUCUGUGCCUCAACAUAGGGAGGAGGGUCCCCUGCCUACUGGAAGCUUGGAAUACUUUGGAAAGCCAAAGUCUCAAGAAUAUCAAGGAGCAGAGGCUUCCCAGACCUCAACUUCUGACUCCUGGCGCUCGAACACCGCUCAAACAGGAAGACAAGACAAGAGACAAUGGCGAAGGAUGCCCACCUGCCAUCCUCCUAUCUCACCCUCCCCGCCCCCCCACCAGCCUUGCUGCAAGCAGCCUCUCAAGGCCAAAUGCAGGCUGGUGGGAAAACGCCAGCCUGCACAGCUACACGCGCCCCCUCCUCUACCCAAAACCCCAAAUAAAAAUCCCUACCCAUUCCUCAUCGGGGAGCUAGCAAUUUUUGAGGCAUGAGCCCUUGCUUUGCUCCCCAUGCCUGGCAUAAUAA